CAAGAAGACAAAUAACACUCCAGCUGCCCGUGUUUAUGCACACGAGUCAUGCCAACCUGAUGAUGCAGUCAGUCGUAAGAAACCGUUCUAGAGAACAGAAGCAAAGCCACUUGGGUCACCGUCACCGGGACCCAAGUUUUCCAGCUCUUCCCUAAAGCUUCUAUCUAAACAUCCCGGGUGGUGAGUGCUGCCUGUUUGCAUCACACUGGGAGGGGUGUGGCCAGCAGUGGGAGGGGCCUGUGAGAUCACCUUUAAGCAUCAGGAAGAUGAAGGCGCUGGGUGACUUCAUCGUGAAUCACAGAGGGAAGCUACACUCUAACGGAAGACUUGGUCAUAAUCACCUAAGUCUUCCCAGCUCUGGGGAUAUCGGCAUCUUUGUUGGUUGUUGGAACACGCUCCCUAGUCUGAGAGAUAACUCCAGAACAUCAGGGAUUGGGUCAUGCAAACACGCAGCGGUGAGGAGUGCGCCUGCGCCUGGGUGCCCUCCAAGGCAUUGCUGUGUGUAUUCAGAAGCUACGCCUGUUUCUGGUACUGGUGCUGAUUCUGGAAAAUUCUAUCCAGCCAAAUAUGAAGCUAUACCUCACACGCCCUCUGUUUUGUUGGUCUCUAUGAUCUCAACUUUUACAGAAGCAAGCCAAUCCCCAGCCGGCUCUGGGCGGGCCCAGGGUUCCCCCCACCUCCACUUAUCUGCUACCCCUUCUGGUGCUUUCUCCACGUUGCAAAGGAAGCAAGCAGACCUGACCAUCCCAAGGUGCUGGCGUCUCAUCAUGGGGCCAUUUGUGUCCAAGAUGUGGCCCAUAUAUGAUAAACACUUUUAAAAUGUGAUUCUCAGGCCUGGACGUGCUGAGGCUAAAUCUGAGCUUCCGUCACAUGUCUCCCAAGGCACGGAGAACGGAUGAAGCAGUGACUGGGUCUCUCUUUCUCCACUUUGUGUAAAUUUGGGAUAGGCACGGAGAGAGCACUGGGCAUGAGAUGAGGACAGAAGCCACAAAGGGAGUAACAGAGCAGCAAGACCUAGGAGGCCCAGGAAGGAAAGCAACCCCUGUGACCUUUUAAAGUAGAGCUUUGCCUGAUGGAGCUGUGAGGGAACAAACUUGUGUCGCUUUAUGUAACAGUUUGUAUCUUUGGCCUGG
rnacentral:lncRNA from 1 species